UUCCACGUAUUGCAUUUCACUCGGAGUUAUCGGUCCUGACCACCUGAGGUCCAGACCGUGGAGCGUGGAUAUGGCUUCAGCAACUAUAUGAGCCGGUAUUACUCUAUGAGCUUUCUGUUUCAAUUUCCCAAGUACAAGUGAAAUCAGAUUUGUUUCUGAGAUAAUUUUAUUGAUGAACAAGGUUAAAAAAAAAAAAAGUAAAGUUGUUGGUCUUACCUUAAAAACCAUGCUGCUUGGUCUGCCACUUUCAGUUGGUGAUUUUGCUGCACUGAAUAAGGAUUUUCUCAUGUCUUCAUCUUUGGCUACCUGAAUUUCAAGAAAAUAAGAGUUUUCAGAAUAUCAAACAUGGAAUAGUUUUCAAAAAGUGAUGAUGUUCUUACCUUGAUUCCUGGAGAUAUAACUGCAUGUUUCUCGUUAUUCUUUUCCAUGGUUGUGGCUGAUCUUUCCCUGCCCAUAAACUGAUUUAGGUCAAAAGGUGGAGAGAGAGAGAGAAGAAAGUCCGUANAACUAGCAUGUUUCUUCGUUAUUCUUUUUCCUACUAGGUUGUUGGGCGUGAUCUUUCCCUUCGCCCACUAAACUAGAUUAGGUCAAAGGUGGAGAGAGAGAGAGAGAAGAAAAGUCCGUACUGGAAAGUAGGAGAUGAAACCAAAGUGAAUACAGAAGAUUCUGCUCUAUUUUGAUAAAAUCAUCGUCAACAACAAAGAGGGCUGGAAAUAUGGGAGAUGCAACGAUAGAUGAUGGAUGGUGUUGCAGAGUAAGUCAAGAGCAAGAUAUGAAGAGUGGCAACAAAAUGUAGCUGUUGUGGUGAUGGGGUUCAGAGUUUUAAAAUAAGAGCAGAGGCAAUCUAGAGAAGGUAGAGAGUUGUAUUAUGCAUCAUUUUGUUUGCAAAAUAGACAUGAUUCCGUCACUGGUGUUUUGGAUUUUUGUUAGGAUCAAUGAUUAUAUACAUUAACGACGCGGGUUGCUCGAAUCUUCCUAGUAGGAUUGUAGUAAAAUAUUUAGAAUCUGAAAGGGACAUGCUUUGAUUGAAUUUUGUUCGGUUUUAAAAUGUGGAGCAGAAAGGGAGUGAUGGAAGGCCAGUUGAGAUUGUUUACUAUUGAUUGAGCAUUGAAUGUACCAAACAACUAGGAAUAUUCCCAGUUCAAGUGUGA
rnacentral:lncRNA from 1 species